GACAUCCAGAGAAUUUAGUAGAGAUGCUUUAGUGCCUUCGGGAACUCUGAGACAGGUGCUGCAUGGCUGUCGUCAGCUCGUGUUGUGAAAUGUUGGGUUAAGUCCCGCAACGAGCGCAACCCUUAUCCUUUGUUGCCAGCACGUAAUGGUGGGAACUCAAAGGAGACUGCCGGUGAUAAACCGGAGGAAGGUGGGGAUGACGUCAAGUCAUCAUGGCCCUUACGAGUAGGGCUACACACGUGCUACAAUGGCGCAUACAAAGAGAAGCGACCUCGCGAGAGCAAGCGGACCUCAUAAAGUGCGUCGUAGUCCGGAUUGGAGUCUGCAACUCGACUCCAUGAAGUCGGAAUCGCUAGUAAUCGUAAAUCAGAAUGUUACGGUGAAUACGUUCCCGGGCCUUGUACACACCGCCCGUCACACCAUGGGAGUGGGUUGCAAAAGAAGUAGAUAGCUUAACCUUCGGGAGGGCGUUUACCACUUUGUGAUUCAUGACUGGGGUGAAGUCGUAACAAGGUAGGCGUAGUGCU
rnacentral:rRNA from 1 species